rnacentral:rRNA from 1 species
CCUACGGGUGGCAGCAGUGAGGAAUAUUGGUCAAUGGACGAGAGUCUGAACCAGCCAAGUAGCGUGAAGGAUGACUGCCCUAUGGGUUGUAAACUUCUUUUAUAUGGGAAUAAAACGUUCCACGUGUGGGAUUUUGUAUGUACCAUAUGAAUAAGGAUCGGCUAACUCCGUGCCAGCAGCCGCGGUAAUACGGAGGAUCCGAGCGUUAUCCGGAUUUAUUGGGUUUAAAGGGAGCGUAGGUGGAUUGUUAAGUCAGUUGUGAAAGUUUGCGGCUCAACCGUAAAAUUGCAGUUGAAACUGGCAGUCUUGAGUACAGUAGAGGUGUGCGGAAUGCGUGGUGUAGCGGUGAAAUGCUUAGAUAUCACGAAGAACUCCGAUUGCGAAGGCAGUUCACUGGACUGAAACUGACACUGAGGCUCGAAAGUGUGGGUAUCAAACAGGAUUAGAUACCCCAGUAGUC